rnacentral:rRNA from 1 species
UACGUAGGAUGCAAGCGUUGUUCGGAAUUACUGGGCGUAAAGAGUACGUAGGCGGUCUGGCAAGUCUGAUAUUAAAGACUGGAGUUUAACUCCAGGACUGUAUCGGAAACUGCCAAACUAGAGGACAAUAGAGGAAGUCGGAAUUCUCAGUGUAGCGGUGAAAUGCGUAGAUAUUGGGAAGAACACCAGUGGCGAAAGCGGACUUCUGGGUUGUUACUGACGCUGAGGUACGAAAGCGUGGGGAGCAAACGGG